rnacentral:rRNA from 1 species
UUUUUUUUUUAACAAAAAAAAUUUGGAUGUAAAAAAUUUUUAUUAGGAGUGUGAUCUUAGCUUUGGUUUAAUGCUAAUCAAAUGCAUUACACACGCAAGUUUUAUUUUACACUAUGAAUCUCGCAGAGUGCUUAAAAUGCAACCUGUAAUUUUUAAAAUAGCGUAUUGGUGCGUAAAAUAUGUUUUUUUAUUUAUACUGUAUCUUAGAUAGACUAGGGAUGCUUUUAAUUAUGAACUUAAUUACUAUUGAAAAAAUAAAACCACAACUAAAAACUUCGAUAAUAAAGUAUUAAGUUUUUUUACUUCUUCAGUAGAAAAAAAAAUAUAGAGUGUUCUCUUUUUUUAAAAAGUUAAAUUUGAAAUAGUUUAAUACACUUAGUUGAUUUGUGAGAAGAAUCAGCCACAUACAGGUAUGUGAAAGACCUUAUCUCGGACAGAAGUGGGGAAUUUUGGGCAAUGCGCGCAAGCGUGACCCAGCAAAUUGAUGUUGCGGAAGAAAACUAAAACAAUUUUUGUAAACGCAAAUCAAAAACGAAUAUAAUUAAUUUAAGUUUUGUUAGAAGCUAUGGCCAAUACAUGUGCCAGCAGCCGCGGUAAUACAUGAGUAGCUAGCAUUAAUCGUCUUUAUUGAGCGUACAGAGUGAGAGGGCUGUUAUAUCAAUUAAUAACUAUUUUUAUUUAAAAAAUUAUUAAUAAAAAGAACUAGUGAUUUUUUUUUAUGUAAGCUGAGCUUGUACACUAGUGAUGAAAUACAGGAAGUCUACAGGAAUGUUCAUUGCUAAAGCAGCUGCCAAAAAAAAAUGGAAGCUUUUUCACGAAAGUGUAGGUAAUGAAAAGGCACUUAAACCCUAGUAAUCUACACCGUAAAAGAUGAGUAUUGAUUAAUAAGUUAACGCAAAAAUACUCCGCUUGGGUAGUAAAGUCGCAAGGCAGAAACUUAACAGAAUUGGCGGGGGUUUGUACAAACGGUGGAGCAUGUGGUUUAAUGCGAUAAUCCACGUAAAAUCUUACCAGCGUUAAAUUUUUUUUUGUAAUUAAAUAUAAUAGUUUAAGUUUAAAAAAAAAGAACGGUAUUGCAUGGCUGUCGUCAGUUCUGGUUGUGAAGUUUAAAAUUCAGUUUUAUAAACGAACGCAGCCCUUAUCCUGUGUUUAGGUUAAAUGUAUUAGGAGACCCCUAAUAUAUUUUAAAUACAAGGCUGAAGUCAAGUCCUUACGGUCUGUGUAUGCUGGGCUACACACGUGCUACAAUGAUAAAAACAAUAGAAAAAUAGAGUUCAACCUUUAGUUUUUAAAAAAUUAUCAAAGUACAGAUUGUUUUCUGAAACUUGGAAGCAUGAAGCAGAAAUCGUUAGUAAUCGUAAAUUAUUAUGCUACGGUGAAAUAAAAGUCAAACCCUGCACACACUGCCCAUCACGCUCAAAGAGUUUUGAGUAUGGAAGUCAGAUCUU